rnacentral:lncRNA from 1 species
AAUGCCCGCUCUCUCGGUUGCGAUUCAACGCUGGAGACACCAGGCGCUGGCUAUUGAGGUGGUGAUGGACCAACACGGCAGCCAAUAUCUCCUCCUCGUCAUCGGACGACGAAUCGUCGGACUCGCAAAGGAAAUUGUGAAAAAAGAACUCGUUGGCGGAGUCCAUUUUAUACCUUGGCAAACUGUCAAACAUCUUGCGGGCGUCGACGAAGGAGACGGCCGGCGAAGGGAGUCGCGACGCGCACGGACCAACUAGCUGCCUUGCCGGCGUCCGACGAGCGUGCCAGCAUCCGACGAGCGUGUCGGUGAGGAUCUAGCCGAGGCGGCUUCUUGGUCGCGGUCGCGGUUGUGUCGGGGGGAGUGGGGGUGGAAAGCUGUCGGUUCCCCAGUGGCAAGACGGCGGUGGCGAGCGACGUGGGAGGUGGCGGCGUUUGCAGAGCGGAUGUUGCGGCGCCAGCAGCUGCCAGAGUCACCGAAAAAAUGGGCGGCGGCGGCGGCGACGAAGGAGGCGGGCAAGGGUUUGCUGUUGGAUGGGGAGAGGCCAAUGUGCCACCGACCAGCGGGUCAGGAGGGAGGAGAAGGCGAGCAUGCGCGCGUCCAUCUCGUGUCCACACCGACGCAAAUCCGGCUAAAAAAUGGGUCGGGAAUGGGUCGCCCGCGGACGAAAAGUGAACGCGCGUUCGUUUGGGUCGGCGCGUUGGGCCGAUUUUUGUGUCCGCGCCGACCCAAAAGAACGCCCGCGGAUGAAAUGGGUCAUCCUGUUGGAGUUGUUCUAAGGAGUGAUGGGAGUGUUCUCUCCAGGCUACGCCUACAAUCCGAGGCAGGUUCAGGGAGUGAUUGUUCCCCGUUCGUGUGGCUUUUCGGUUAGAUCGCAUGCAACCGUGAGCGGAGUGUGUCCCCGUAAGACAAGUACCUAGGUAAUGAUAACUACAUAAUUUUAUAUUUGAGAUGAAUGAUACUUAUGCAAUUAACAUAAUAUAAGCAAUGUGGAAAGAUGUGAUUGGAGAUUAAGGAAGUAAGGGGCCCACCCCAUGAAAAUUGGGUGGGGGAUAGUUAGUUUGUUAGGAAGUUACAUAGAGCCCUUCGUAGGAGCACGUGGAUGUAGCAUUUUCGCCGUUCGACGACUAGCGCGGACACGUCGCCUUCCCGGCCACCGUCGUUUGAAAAGGAUAAAAAACAAUGUCCAAAGAAGAUAGACAUCCAUCUUCAACGUCGACCCUCAAACCUCCCGCAAGUGUCCGGACCGCGCGGUUCAGACGUGUUGUGCCAUCCAACACUGGUCUAUAUCGAUCUGUUCGACGGUCCGGACAAACUUCCUCCUACAAACCGAACACAAAUUAGGGGGCUUUGUGGAUGUCGGGGCAUCAGCCACGCCUGCUUCUGACCACCCUGACCCAUCCAAAACACCCCACCCUUGCCCGUGUGCGUUCCCGCCAGGCACCAGCUACCCGCAUUCAUGUCGCUGUAGAGCGCCCGCUCCACGUUGAAGCCGGCCCAGAGCGGAUGUGACCUCUCAGUGGCUCCGGCUUUAAAGCAGCACGCCAGCCGAGGGAACCGCCCGCUGCACGCCCAGCUGGACACGCAUUCUCGCCGGAUACGAGCCAGGCAACUCGCUGCUCCACCUCCCUCGCCUAGCCUGACGGAGCAAGUUGCUGCUCCAAACCGACAUGUGAUUCAACAACUCGUCGCUCCAAGCCAGCUCACGGGGGAGCAUGGUGGAACAAGAAUCAUGGCUGCCAUGGACGAGGCCUGACGUCGUGCCAUCAGCCGUCAAAUGUUGGCAACCGUGCCUGGUCGAUGGAGAAAGAAGCCGGCUACAUGAAAAUCGAUGAGUCUUUGGCUAGCAUGUCCGGGUCCGCCGCCAUCAUCGAGGGAAAAUAGAACAUGAGAGGCCGUCGCCACUUGGGUUCCAAGAAGGCCACUGCCGGCAUGUCGCCAGCUUGCAAACCUCCCCCUUCGGUUGAAGCACCCCUUUGCCACUCCGGUGAGCAGCCCAGUCGGACAUAGGAAGAUAUGGAGGAAAGAUAUACCUUUGGGGCUUUAAGCAGCCUAAGUGGACUGCCGGACAUGGGAAGACAAAGGGAUCCGCCGCAGCCUAUCAUAGACUAGUGUAGUGUAUCCAUGUCGUGGGAAUGGAGCUCCGCGCGGUCGGACGUGAACAUAGUUUUACCCUUGUUUUGGUUAAAAUAUGUUCAAAAUGUAAAUGUUUUCGUCCGGUUUAUAUGAAAUCCGUUGUGUUUACAUGAAUUUCAUCCGGUUUGUUGAAAACAUAUUUGAAAUGUAGUAGCGUUGGAUGGCCAGCUUCGGUAUCCUUGUCCGUGGACUGGUCCCCCGUGUUCGUGGACGGAUGUCGAAACAAAUUUGAGGAUCAGCGUUGGAGAUGCCCUGCCACAUGUUUUAUCUGCUAUUUGUCAAUUGUAGCUCUAAUGGUGAUGCUGCUUCGUACUAUCGAGCAAUAAGUCGACGCUAAAAACUUGUCCAAUUCAAAUACGGAUGCACAAUCUGAUAAAAUUAGAAAGAUGUUUCUUCUUAUUCGUCGAUAAACAAAAGGGGGCGAGGCCUAGGGCGAAGCACCAAAUGUGUGUAUUUCUAUGCCAUAAAAUGCUGAAAAUGCAUGGCCUGGACACAGGCUAGCACUAGUAGUCUUUUGGCUCCCCGUUUGCCUCUGGUAUUCGAUAAGACCAAGCUGUUCUUGGAGUACGAUAGUGAUGAUUGUUGCAUAUAUGCAGAAAAUAGUGAAGGACUGAUAGAGCAUUUUCUCAUAUAAUCUUUUAGCCUUUUUGCACCACAUUGUAAUCAUAUUUUCACAUUAUUUACUUCAGAAAUAUUCAAAUACCCCCAUUAUACUACAUUUACAACACUCCUCCAUGUUUUGGAGAAAAGGGCGAAAAGGCCCAAAAUCCUUCUAUAAUGGAGAGUGUCAAGAAACUGUGGUUGCUGUAACUUACGGAGGGACCCGACCGUGAAGAAAAGAAGUAACCAGAGGGGUCAAGCUAAAGUUGGAGGGAUCAUCUUGUGAAGAAAGAAGAGAAGUGGAAGGGCAAAAGAGCAAAACUGGCAGAUCAGAGGAGGGGAUCAAAUCCCUAGCGGCAUCCAUCGAUCCCCUUUGGGCCUGGACCACAUCUCCUCUUCCCCCGUCCCCUUCUCCACCACCGGCCGCCGCCGCGGCCAGGCCGGCGUGGCGGCGCACCAUCCAUCCAUUGGCGCCGCCAGCCACGACCAUCUCCACCACGCACCACCAGCACCAUACCAUCCAUCCUGCCAACCUCCAGCGCCAUUGCAUCCACGGCGCGGCCGACCAGACAAGUUGUCUGGUGCCUCGCGCGACCAUCCCCACGCUGCUGCUGCUUUUCCGACGUCCCUGCUGCUCCUCCGCUUCCCUCGCCUUGCUGCUGCUUUUCUUUCUCAACGCCGGCUGCUGCUUCCCCGCUUCCCUCCGCUGCUUGCUGCUUCUUCUUCUCUCCCCUGCUCAAAACUGUUGCUGCUUCGCUAACUCUGCUGCUUCUUCUCUGAUCCCCUGCUGCUGCAUUUCUCCUCUGCCACCCUCAACGUCUGCUUCUGCUGCAUCUCUUCUUUUCUCCCCAAAACUGCUGAUCUACUCUCUUGCUGCGCCCACGCUUCUCUUCUGAACCUGAAGCUCUUCUACAAUCUCUCUCUCUCUCUCUCUCUCUCUCUCUCUCUCUCUCUCUCUCUCUCUCUCUCUCUCUCUCUAAAUAUUGUACGUUGCAUUGUAAGAAUUGGUGAAUUGUCCAGAAUUAAUGUGGUUUAGUAUUUCUAUUAUGUUGAUCUGUUAGUACGAGUACGUAGUUUGCUUAAACCAAUUCAUAUUUGUAUUGUCACUCUUGUGCUUCUCUUACUGUAGAAACUGGUUCUAGAUUGUAGUCCAUGUGUUAGCAAGUUCUUGUCAUACAUAUGUACUUGUGAUGUGAAGUAUGUUUGUCCCUGUACCUUAAUCUUGCUUCUUCCUUUUUAUACAUUGUUUGCUGGAUAUACAUGUUAUGAUGUUUUAUAGUUUUCCUUGUCAGUGAUUGUUGCCUGUGCUAGUAUUGUAGUUUCUCAAGUAAUAUGAAAAUACCAAAAAGACAGUGAUUGUAGUCUUAAUCACUCUAUGCUGUUUGUUAUUUUCUUACUCGUCAAUCCUUGUCAGUGUUAGGUUUAUUUUCUGUUUUCAUCUCCCAAUAUCGUGGUACCUAGCUUUAGCCGAGCAUAGUUGCUGUUGCCUAGUCCCUGAGGAGUACACGACACUCGCAUUUUGGGCGUAAAACCCCACUGUACCUACAUUCGAAUCAAGGACCCGGCUACCUGUUGAUGGGCGGGUUUGUUGGGGAACGUAGUAAUAAAUAAAAAAAUCAUACGUGUCACCAAGAUCAAUCUAGGAGAUGCUAGCAACGAGAGAGGGAUUGCAUCUUCAUACCCUUAGAGAUCGCUAAGCGGAAGCG